AAUUGCCUCAAGUCUUAGUCAUUCCGAAGAAUGAUUGCUAACCGCAAGCAGCAACUCCUUCGCCCCGUUCUAUUCCGCUGCCACUCAUUUUUUGUUCGUACGCAGUAGACGUACACCAACUCUAUCGAGCACAAGUUGACUGUAAUUACACGGGCGUAAAGCGUCGCAAAUAAAGGCAACAGAUGCUGCGCAGUUCGUCUCUACGAUGCAGCCAGGGCAGUAAAAUAUUUUUACAUUUUCGUCCUUUGUCACCUGCCACGGACCUAUUAAAUUGUUGAGCUUGUGUAAUCCUCAAUGCAGUCUACACAAAACAAGAAAUUACUAAACAAGUACAUCUUAAAAAUGACCCAUGUGGAAAAUCCUCUUAUGUUUCAAUGUGGACUCUUCAUUCACUUUAUCUAUUUACCCUUUUUAUUUACAAUCACCAUCGGGUUCCAUCUCGGACGCUAGUCAAAGAAUAUAUUUCUUCUGUAUAGAAAAGCAUGAAAGCGAAAGGAGAACUAUAUUUCGCCUUUCUUCUUCUUAAUCCCUAUAGACGCAAAUAGCCUUUAGUUCCAUGUUGUGUUCAUGUUCUCAUCGUCCUCUUUAUUUGCCAACCAACAAACUUAUUCAUUCGUGUUUUGCUUUGAAAAUAAAGAGAAAGACAAGAUUAGAAAGAGAUGCUAACUAUAACUGCGUUCACAACUUUUCUGAGCCUAUUGCGUCUUUACCCAAAGUUUCGACAUUCAAAAAGAUCAAAGCUCUCUUCGGCUUUCUUUGGCAUUCAAACCCGCACGGAACGUUUCACUUUCUAACGUGGAAUUGUUACCUUACCGCCACCACGUGACGUGAGGUGCAUCGUUCGAUUGAGCUGAUCAAUUUUCUUUCCAACAAGAAAUGCUGCCGUAUUUAAUAAUAAAAAAAAAAGAACAUUUUCAAUUUCCCCUCGCCAGCAAUCCGGCAUGUAAAAAAAAAAAGACCUUUGUUAUUUUUCGUGGCAAGAAGAGCUUAUUAGCAUUUAAAUGGUAUUGUUGACAUACUUUGGAGCCUGCAGUGAAACUCAACAUAUGGCAGCUGUUGUUCAGCUAGCCUUCGAUUUCCUGAUUUCACGCUACAAUCGUCCGACAGCGGGCGUGUCUCAAAUCUCCCCAAUAGAAAAUUCUAUUCAAUUAAUCGACAAAUCGAGUCACGUUAUCUUAACUGCGUUGGCCUUUACCAAUCGCGUACCCUUCACGCUUUAGAUGGACGAUUAGCUCUUGGGUGUACGAUAUGAUCAGCAACGACGAGCAUUCGUUAAACGUGACACAAAGCAGAAACGAUGCAUUUUAAAACCUAAUUAUGAGUAGCUUCUAGACGGAGCCCAUUCGGUGUACUCAUUCGGACAGAUGUCAUCUAUCCCUUGGCACUAUUUCUUUGAUGAUGAAAUAGUAACAAACAACAUUGGGGGCGGAAGCCAAUGAUUUGCAUGGAAAAAGCGAAUCCCCUGUUAAUCGAACAAAGAGAUGCAGCAUAAACAUGGAUAUGGAACAGCAAUUCCAACGCAACAGAAAAUUACUCGAACAAUAAGCCGAGGAUCAUCAAGAAUACGACGCCACACGAUCCUUAAAAAAAAUGCUGAAUCGUGACGAGUAGUAGACUAAAUAGAAGAGGGGUAGAUUUCAUUUGUUUAGUCAACACUAAUUGAAUUGUUAAACAUCCUGAAAUGUACUUUUAUUCGUUGCAUGUUUUGACGCCAUCUGUUGAUUACGCUUCUAUGCAUAUGCAAAUCAGUGACAGACUGCAACACAAUGUUUGCAACAGACUGAAAUCUUGAAACUUGGAACCUUCUCAUCAAAUAUGAAGCCAUUCCUCUGUAACGCAAAAACACCAUUGGGAGUGCCGUUCCGCUGCAGUAAAUAGAAGGCAGCCGACCCACGAAGUCGCCUCCUGACUUUCUCGUAACACGCGACGAGUCCCACUCCGCUCUUUGACUAUGAGGAAAACGCGUCGACUCUUAUUGGUUACAUCCGGCUAAACUUUCGACUACUACUGGUUGCUGCAUGUAGGAUUGAAAACUUUGAGUCAAUGAAUAAUGAACCCAAUACACCGCUCAAAACCUGUA
rnacentral:lncRNA from 1 species